rnacentral:rRNA from 1 species
CAGUAGCCGCGGGAAUACGUAGGUCCCGAGCGUUGUCCGGAUUUAUUGGGCGUAAAGCGAGCGCAGGCGGUUAGAUAAGUCUGAAGUUAAAGGCUGUGGCUUAACCAUAGUACGCUUUGGAAACCGUUUAACUUGAGUGCAAGAGGGGAGAGUGGAAUUCCAUGUGUAGCGGUGAAAUGCGUAGAUAUAUGGAGGAACACCGGUGGCGAAAGCGGCUCUCUGGCUUGUAACUGACGCUGAGGCUCGAAAGCGUGGGGAGCAAACAGGAUUAGAUACCCCUGUAGUCCCUGUCUCUUAUACA